rnacentral:rRNA from 1 species
UACGUAGGGGGCAAGCGUUGUCCGGAUUUAUUGGGCGUAAAGAGCGUGUAGGCGGCUUGGUAAGUCCGCUGUGAAAGUCCAGGGCUCAACCCUGGAAUGCCGGUGGAAACUGUCAAGCUUGAGUCCGGAAGAGGCGGGUGGAAUUCCACGUGUAGCAGUGAAAUGCGUAGAGAUGUGGAGGAACACCGAUGGCGAAGGCAGCCCCCUGGGUCAAGAUUGACGCUCAUGCACGAAAGCGUGGGGAGCAAACAGGG